rnacentral:lncRNA from 1 species
CCAAUAAACAUUCCCAUGCAAUCCGAUUAUGUUCCUCAUAUACAUGCAUCACCUGAGUAAUCUUCCGUACCUCCUCUAAAAACAACUGUGGAUCCUCAUCAGACUUGGACCCAUAGAAUUCUAGUGGAUUCAUCCGCAUGAAGUCAUGGAUCCUGGCAGCAGCUGAAUUACCUCCCUGCUACUGUGGAGCUGGGGCUGGGUUGGCCUGAACAUUUGCAGUAACAGCUUGGGCCAGCGCUUAAAAGGCUGCCCAAAAUUCAGCAUGAGACAUAUUUUCAUUCAAUGGGUCAGCAGGUUAAGGUUGCUGACCAUCAUUAUUUCUUCACGCUCGACGUGGAGGCAUAUUUCUGAAAGAGAAGAGCACGAAUCAAUAGCAGAGAGAGACACUUUAAGCACGAUAGACCUCUGAAAGAAAGAAUCACACUUUUUCCUAAAACUUCUUGUAGCCUAUUGCUCAUAGAUAUGGCGCGCUACACACCGAUGAACAAGACUCUACUUAACGCGGUUUGUCAGACCCACUAGGACACCUUAAAACCUUAGGCUCUGAUACCAAGUUUGUAACACCCCAAAAAUGGGUCUCGGAGCAUCACACGGUGCUUGAGGCUAUGAGUAGUCCCAAGCUAACCCUUGGACCCAUUUUUAUUUAGUUCAACACGAAUCAAUGGGGUUUUCAUAAAUAACCCUCAAAUAUCAACACAGUAAUCAUCAUCCAAGAAUAAAAGAAUUUCAGAAAGAUAAUAAAAUACGACUUAUUAGUCAACUCCCAACAUCUAUACUAGUUUGACAAGCCUCUAAGAAAAUUAAUAAAACCAGAGAGCCAUUAAGACAUGCCCCAACUAACUCAUACUCAGUUAUCAAAUGUAAACAAUUCUGUGGAACCAACAUCAGACAUCACGUCCUCAGAAUAUGAGGACUCACCACGAUAGAGGAUGUAGAACAGCGUGCCCAAAGAAUCACUGUCGAACCUAGAACUAAGCACCUAAACCUACAAAUCGAGGAAAUCCAGCCCACAUCUGAAGAUGUGGGUCAGUACCAUGGAAAGGAAUCGAGUAUAUGGGGGUGUAUGCAGUUUUAUAAACAUAAUCAUCAUAAAUAUUUAUAAAAAAUAAGCAGGAUGUAUGAAAGACUCACAUAGCCCGAAGAAAAUCAUCAUAAUCAUGAGAGGAUGAAAUAAGUACAAUAACACAUGUGAGUCAUCAUAUAAUUUGUCAAUCACUUUCAGUUCAUCAAGAAUAUCAAUUCUCAUAAUGUAAAUAUCAUUUAAAUCUUUCGAAAGAAUAACUUUCACAAUUCCACUUUCAAAUCACUUCACCAUUCACCAUAGACACAAGGAAACACACACACACUGAGAGAUCCUCUACAUGGAGUCCAACGUACAACCCACGUUAGGGAGAGCCGUCCUAUCCUUGCCAUCGGAGUAGGACUAUCAAUAUCAAAUCCACACAAACUAGUGAUCACUAUAUAAAUCAGCCUCAAGCUCACUCCUACGAGGGCAUGUAGUUCUAGGGAAGUAAGGUCGCUUUAUACCUCCCACUCGGUGCUAAAGAUUUCUCCCGAACUUAGCUCAGAUCAUUUCAAAGACAAUCAACAACAAAACAAUUUUAGUAAUAUAUAAAUAUACAUCGGGAGCCAUCAUACUUCCCAUCUAUCAAAAUCAACCACAUUGUAGAUUUCUAUCACACUCGAGUUCAAAACAACUCUAUUAAGAAUAAAAGGUCAAAUCAUUCAAAAUAUCUCAAAUAUUCAACAUCAAGGUGCUUAUAACAUAUACUUUCUCAAAAAGCACAAUUUCCAAUGGGGAUUCAUGACCCAAAUAUCAAAAUCAUGAUAAAUAAUGUUCAAGAUCCAUGUGUUAUAUCUCCACACAUGUAAAUUCAUCUUUCAAAAUCAUAAACAUCAAGAUUUCAUAAUAAUCAUCAUAAUAUAUGGGUUCGUGCUUCAAAUUCAUAAAAGUCAAAUAAAAAUCAUGCUUUUGUAAAAAAAAUUACUUUUGGGCACAAAAACGAAAGAGAGUUCUUGUUGAAAAACUCCACAUACCUUGAACGAUGAACUUUAGAUCGAUACUCAUUUUUGAGAUAUUAAUCGUGCCUUUGAAUGAUGGUUCUUGGAGUUCUUGAACUAGGAACUUAGAAUCUUGAAUAAAUUUGCAGAAUUAGUGGUAAACUUUGGAGGUUCUUGAAGUUGGAUGUAAGAGCUUAGAGUUUUCUUUUUGAGGGUAAUUUGAUGAAAUAUAACAUAUAAUGCUUCUAAUAGGCUUUAAUAUAGGGUUUGGACAGAUUUUGGGUGAGGGGGAAUGACCAAAACGCCCCUAAAAAUUAAAUAAUUCUCGAAUCUGUCCUUUAGUGGACUAUUUUGAUAGUCUGAAGUAGAUCAAUCAUAAUGUUUUACUUCAAUAUACAAAUUGGAUAAAACUAAUUUCAUUAGAAAGAGGACUCUCAUAUCUUUCCAUUGAUAUAUAGUAUCUCACCCAUAUCAUUAUGUACGAGGAGUUAUGAUCGUUUGAAGUUGACCAAAAAAUUUGCUUUUGAUAGACUGAAGUAGAUCGACCAUAACUUUUUACUCCGAUGGACAAAUUAGAUGAAACCAAUUUCAUUGGAAAGAGGACUCACAGAUAUUUCCGUUCAUAUAUAGUAGAUCACCCAGAUCAUUAUGUACAAGGAGUUAUGAUCAUUUAAAGUUGGAGCAAAAGUAUGCCAAGUCUCAGUACUUUUUCCUGCACAUUUUACUGUUCACUACUAUUCACGGUUCGAUCGGAAUAUUCAUAACUCGUCCUGCACAUUUUACUGUUCACUACUAUUCAUGGUUCGAUCGGAAUAUUCAUAACUCGUCGCUCGGGUGUCCAUUUUGGAUGAUCCAGAUAUCAUUGGAAAGCUUAUUCAAUACUCUACGCAAUGGUGGGUCAUAUCUAAGACAUUCCGCAUGAAAAAUUUAUAAUUCAUUCUAGAAGAUAGAACCCAACACGUUUACACACAAAAUUUCAAAAAAAAAAAUUCUCGGGGUAUUACAAUGAGUCAGCUAGUCGACUCACAUUCUACCUAUAUUGAGAAACUAGAACAACAAAUGAACUAGUUAUCUACAGUAUUCAACUAGAGAAAAAGCUGAACAUUAUCGAGUGAUACAAUGCAAAAUCCUUGAAAUGAUGGCUCUUGCAUGGCGAUUACCACUUGAAGUGGUAAAGUAUUAUCGGGCCCUUUUGUUGGAAAAUCUUUGAUUGAUGAUGGGAUGGAGUUAGAUGCAGAAGUAGAAGAAAACCAUCCAGUAGAGACUAAGAAGCUGGAUAAUGAUAAGAUUUUAUCUAAACAUCAGCAGGUUGAUGAGUUAGAUAAAGAUAAGGUAAAGGAUGGAUGACACAAAAUUUAGCAAGUUCCUGGCAAUGCUAAAAUAGUUGAUGGUGAAUGUGUCUUUAGUGGAGGCAUUGGAACAAAUGUCUGGCUAUGCUAAGUUCAUGAAGGAUCUUGUGACAAAGAAAAGAAUAGUAAGGUACGAACCAGCGGACAAACUUCACCAUUGUAGAGCUAUUUCUACAAGAUCCUUGGUGCAGAAGAAAAUGGACCCAGGAGCUUUCACUAUCCCUUGUACUAUUGGAUUACUUAAUUUUUCUAAGGCCUUGUGUGACCUUUGGGAAAGUAUUAAUCUGAUGCCACUGGCAGUUUACAAGAAGUUGGGUUUGGGAGAUACUACACCCACCAAUAUGCAACUUGUAAUGCCAAACAGAUUAGUGAAGCGGCUAGUCGAAAUAUUAUAUAAUGUGCUUUCAAAAGUGGCUAGUUUUAUUUUCCCUAUUGAUUUUUUCAUCUUGGAUUGUGAGGUGGACAUUGAGGUACCCAUAAUCUUGGGUAGACCUUUCCUUGCAAUCGGGAGUGAGUUGAUUGACUUGCAAACUAAUAAGCUGAAGUUUAGGCUCAAUGAGAAGGUGGUCAUUUUUUAUGUUUGAAAGUCAAUAAAGUAGCAAAAGGAGAUAAGUGUAUUCUUGAUCAUUGAUAUAUAUUAUGAGAUAAACAUGAGGUACCGAUUGAGGAUAAAUAUGGCAUGGAAACAUUGGUUGCUAUGUUGAUAAAAUUUGCUAGUGAGGGUAUCGAAGAAUAUGAAAAGAUGGUGUGUGCAUUAACUGGGAUAGGAUCAUAUUCAUAUGCUCCCAAGAAGCUAGACUUGGACCUUAAAAUUUGCCUAACACCACCGGCUAAGCCAUCUAUUAAAGAGCCACCGACGUUGGAACUUAAUGAGUUGCCAGGCCAUCUGCGCUAUGCAUUCUUAGUAGUGAUAACACUUUGCCGGACAUUAUUGCAGCAGAUUUGGUAAAGCUGCAGGUUAAGGCCCUUAUUUUUGUUCGUAGGAGGUACAAAAAGCUAUCGGAUGGAUGAUUGCAGAUAUUAUUAGUAUCCCUCCAAGCAUAUGUACCCAUAAGAUCUAGCUAGAAGAUGAUUGCAGAUCGACCUUUGAGCAUCAAUGUAGACUAAACCUACCUAUGCAAGAAGUGGUGAAAAAAGAGAUUGUAAAGUAGCUUGAUCCAGGGGUAGUGUACCCGAUCUCUAACAGUAAGUGGGUAAGUCCAGUACAGUACGUGCCCAAGAAAGGAGGUGGACUGUGGGUGAUAAUAAGAAGAAUGAGAUAAUUCUGCUUAGGCCAAUAAAUAGGUGGUGAGUUUGCAUAGACUACUGAAAUUUGAAUUCAUGGAUGUUAAAAUAUCAUUUUUCAAUGCCCUUCAUGGAUCAAAUGCUUGAUCGCUUAGAAUGAAGGGGUUGGUAUUGCUUUUUGGAUAGAUAUUCGGGAUACAACCAGAAUAGGGUCCACUUGCUAAAUAAGACAUCUUGUGGUUUGGGUCCACUUGCCAUGCAAGAUAAGAUAGCUCGUGAUUAGGUUCCACUUGUUAUACAAGAUACAACGGCUUAUGGUUUGGGUCCACUUUCCAUAUAAGACAUAACGGCUUGAGGUUAGGGUCCUCUUUCUAUAAUAGAUGAGACAGCUAGAGGUUAGGUUCCUUUUGCUUAAUAUAACCUAAAGGUUCAAACGUUCUUAACUAGAAGGGUGGAAGGUUGGAGUCCUUCACUACAUCUUUCAUGAUUGAGUGUUUUCAAAAAGGCAUGCUAAGCCUUGUUUUUUCCUUUUUGGCACGUUAUGAAUCUAUAUAUGUGUACGUAUAUAAAUAUGGUUGCAUAUGAUGGUUUGACUUGGUAUUAAAUAAUGGUACUAGUUUAUCCUUAUCCUUGAGUUACAUGUUAGUGCUCCAACUGUUAACCAUCUCCGAACGUUAUGUGCCCACGUGACAUAGGGGCCAAAGCUUCUUCUUCUCUUCUUGCGUAGUGACAGGUGUUCGAGUGGUUCAUGUGUUGACAUUGAAGUGGUGAACUUCCAUAUUUCAGAAGACAUACAUUUUAUAGUCUUUCAAUCUUAUGCUAUAGAUUUGUUUUAGACUUGGCUUAUGGUUAUUAUCAGGGGCAUGUCCCGAAAUAUUAUAGACAUCGGAUUUGUAGAGGCUUUGUGUAUGAUUGUGGACUUGGGUAUAUUGGUUAGUAUAUUGAUGUAAAUGAAUUGAUUAGACAUCUCUUAAGUCAUAAUCAUUAGUCUUUUUUCCGCUACCUUAUUAUAUGUUCGGAGUUCAUCCGGCACUUGCCGUUUGAUAUGAUGGUUAGGUUGGGUUAAUGGGCAAUCUUCGAUCCUUGUUGGGCUUGAAAUGCCCAUUUGACAAGGCCCAAUUUUGGGUCGUGUCACCUACCUAGAUUAUUGCUACUUACUCCAAAAGAGGAGUAGUGACUAGGAAAAGAUAAUUACAACAGCGAUUUGAAUAUUAAUCGUCGAUCCAUGCUAAUAGGUAUUAUCUAAGUAAAAUCAUUAACUAACAUCUAAUAACUAGAGACCCAAAAGGUAAUAUUUAAUUGGGAUCAAGGAUAAGUGUUGGUAAGGUGACAUCUUGAGACUCAAAAGGUAAAGGGUGGAAUCCAUUAACUAGUCCAAAAGACAGUUGAUAGUACAUAACUUAUCAGAUUCUGCAUGCAAGAUAUCGGGUUGGUUCAAUAAAAGCACAAUAAGCCUAUUGAAUUGAGAAGUUAGGGAAAACAAAAUCCUACUGUUCAUCUACAACUUAUUACAACCAGAGUUGAUAUUUGUUAUUUGUUCGAUAUUACCACUAUAAUCCCCUAUUUACUUUUUCAGUUCUGCCCGUUGAUUACAAUAGUUAAGAGCCACAAUUCCAUGUAUUUCCUUGGGAUUCAACCCCAACCGUUGUUGGGCUACUAUAUUUGACAAAGAAUGCAUUAUCUUCAGAUUGAAGGUGUACCUUGGGCAUUAUUAGGGACAAUGCUAGAGAUGAGGAGAUAGAGGUCCAACAUUUUGUUAGAAAUGGAGAAUGGGAUAAAGAGUUGCUAUUAUCUCAACUGUCAGAAAAAAUGGUUGAUCUUAUCAUUAGAAAUAUUAAGGCUCUUAGGAAUGGUAACUCUAAUGAUCUCCCUUAGUGGAUGGGUGGUACUCAUGGCAUGUUCUUAGUUAAAACAACCUAGAAUCACAAGUAAGAGACAAGGAGAGAUUAUGAUUUCAUCUAGGCCAAAGGUUUGCCUUUUAAGGUGAAUUUUUUUUAUAUGGAGGUUGUAGAAAAGGAGAAUUGCAACUGAUGAUAACUUUAAAAGAAUGAGAAUAUAGUUGGUAUCAAGGUGUUGGUGUUGUGAGGAGAAUGUCAAGGAAAUAAUGUCUUAUCUAUUUCUAACAUCCCCUGUAGCCAUGAGGCUAUGAAGGCAGUUUGCUUAUUUUGCAAGUAUUCAAGUGGAGAACAUGCAACUUCAAUAGCUUAUAAUAGUUUGGUGGAAGUAAGCACCAACAAAAUUAAAGGUGUUAUAUAGAGCAAUACCAACUAUAAUAAUUUGGACUCUAUAGAAGAGAAGAAAUUAUAUUAAACAUGGAGGAACUGUACAGUUCACUGGAAUGGUCAUACAGAUAUAUGAUGUGGUGAAAAAGGUUAUCAAAAUACUAUAUCCCUGGAUAAAGAGUGAGCAUGGACAUGGCUAGAAGUUAUUGCCAAGAUAAAAGCCCACAAGCCCAAGUUGCACUAUCACAGUGGAAUUUGGAGGAAGCCAGAGAACCAGCAGGUGAAGUGAAACACUGAUGGAGCUUGCAGAGGAAAUCCUGGGAUAAGUUCCUGUGGUUUCUGCCUAAGGGAUAACAAAGUAGAUCUAAUAUAUGCAAGAGCAAAGGGAUUGGGAGCAGGCACUAACACAGAAGCUAAAUAAUUAGCAAUAAAAGAAGCCUUAGAGUACUGUUAUGAAAAGAACAUAAUUGACUUUAUUCUUGAAAUAGACUCCUUUGGCCUCAGAAAAAUGAUUCUACAACAGUGGAAAGUGCCUUAGGAAUUAGCAGAGCUAUUUGAUAAGGUUAGGAAGAAUGGACAGAAGAUGAAUGUUAUAGUCAUGCACAUAUUCUAGGAAGGAAACACUGUGGAAGAUUCCUUAGCCAAUGAGCUGAUUGAAUCAAAAAUGACAUAGGAAUUCCAUAAUUUUCAUGAACUUCCAACACAUACAAAAAUACUGAUUAACAUAGAUAAAGCAUAGAUCCCAAACACCAGGGUGAAAAGACAAAGAUAAUACCACAAUGAGAAACAAAAGAAGAAUCACAAAUACAAGAAAAUAGGAAAUUCAUUCAAGUUGUAAGAGCAUGGAUGUACCAAUAAUAUUUACAAAGCUACAGUUAUCCAAAAACACUAGCACGCCAUAAUUAAUGAAAGAGCAUGCCUAGAAGAAGACAUUACAACAGUGCCAAUAAAAGUUAGGACUAAAAGUUUUAGCUAUCAAAAACCUGCACCAAAAAUAGAGGUUUUUGGGGCGUUGCACUACCAUGGAUCACCAGUUGUAGAUGCAGAAGAAUCGAGACUGCCACAAUCUCAAUCCCACCUGAAAUGUGGAUAAAUAGGUCAGAAAUGGAGUAAAUGAAAAAGGAAAAGAAAAGACAAGAGAGAAAACAUAUUGGUAUCUCAUGAUCUGGUGGAAAUGGUAUUCCUUCUAUGGUUCCUUGGGGUUAAAACCCAACCACCUACGAGAUCAAAAGUUAGGUUAAUAAAUGAAAAGAAAAGAGAGAAGAAGGAAAAAGAGAGAAGCUCACUAUGAAAUAGUGAAGAGGGUAGACAGAGCUCAACAAUCACCAUUGUAGGCUCAUGCUUGAACACGACCAAAAGGAGGAAGAACUUCAGCUUGCAAGUUCCACCGGCAACACUUCGACAGCAUGGUUCAACUCACAAGGCAGCAGCAAGUAGAAAGAAAGAGUACUUUGUACUUGAAGAAUAAAGGCAGAUAUUUAUACUACUUUAGGAAACGUUUUAUUUUCCUCUUUAUUUUGGAUCGAGUUCUAUUUUG